AUACGUAGGUGGCAAGCGUUGUCCGGAAUUACUGGGCGUAAAGGAUGUGUAGGCGGAUGUUUAAGUGAGAUGUGAAAUCCCCGGGCUCAACUUGGGGGCUGCAUUUCAAACUGGAUAUCUAGAGUGCAGGAGAGGAAAGCGGAAUUCCUAGUGUAGCGGUGAAAUGCGUAGAGAUUAGGAAGAACAUCAGUGGCGAAGGCGGCUUUCUGGACUGUAACUGACGCUGAGGCAUGAAAGCGUGGGGAGCAAACAGGAUUAGAUACCCUGGUAGUCCACGCCGUAAACGAUGAGUACUAGGUGUAGGAGGUAUCGACUCCUUCUGUGCCGCAGUUAACACAAUAAGUACUCCGCCUGGGAAGUACGGUCGCAAGAUUAAA
rnacentral:rRNA from 1 species